rnacentral:rRNA from 1 species
UUAGGUUAAGUUAGGAAGGGCGCAUGGUGGAUGCCUUGGUACUAGGAGCCGAUGAAGGACGGGACUAACACCGAUAUGCCUCGGGGAGCUGUAAGUAAGCUUUGAUCCGGGGAUUUCCGAAUGGGGCAACCCAAUAGUUUUAAUCGACUAUUAUCCGCAUCUGAAUUCAUAGGAUGUGUGAAGGUAAACGUGGGGAACUGAAACAUCUCAGUACCCACAGGAACAGAAAGAAAAUUCGAUUCCCUGAGUAGCGGCGAGCGAAACGGGAACAGCCCAAACCAAGAAGCUUGCUUCUUGGGGUUGUAGGACUGAACAUUUGAGUUACCAAAGAGCUUGAUAGCUGAAGGGCCUGGGAAGGCCAGCCAGAGAGGGUGACAGCCCCGUAAGUUAAAUCAAACUCCCUCAGUUCAGGAUCCUGAGUACGGCGGAGCACGUGAAAUUCCGUCGGAAUCCGGGAGGACCAUCUCCCAAGGCUAAAUACUACCUAGUGACCGAUAGUGAACCAGUACCGUGAGGGAAAGGUGAAAAGCACCCCGGAAGGGGAGUGAAAUAGUUCUUGAAACCAUGUGCCUACAAGAAGUCAGAGCCCGUUAAUGGGUGAUGGCGUGCCUUUUGUAGAAUGAACCGGCGAGUUACGUUCGUAUGCCAGGUUAAGUUGAAGAGACGGAGCCGAAGCAAAAGCGAGUCUGAAGAGGGCGAAUUAGUAUGCGGAUGUAGACCCGAAACCAAGUGACCUACCCAUGUCCAGGUUGAAGGUGCGGUAAAACGCACUGGAGGACCGAACUCGUGUACGUUGAAAAGUGCUGAGAUGAGGUGUGGGUAGCGGUGAAAUUCCAAACGAACUUGGAGAUAGCUGGUUCUCUCCGAAAUAGCUUUAGGGCUAGCCUCGGAAUUAGGAUCGUGGAGGUAGAGCCACUGUUUGGACUAGGGGCCCGUCAUGGGUUACCGAAUUCAGAUAAACUCCGAAUGCCAUCGAUUUAUGUCCGGGAGUCAGACGGUGAGUGAUAAGAUCCAUCGUCGAAAGGGGAACAGCCCAGACCACCAGUUAAGGUCCCUAAAUAUAUGUUAAGUGGAAAAGGAUGUGGAGUUGCAUAGACAACUAGGAUGUUGGCUCAGAAGCAGCCACCAUUUAAAGAGUGCGUAAUAGCUCACUAGUCGAGUGAUCCUGCGCCGAAAAUGUACCGGGGCUUAAACAUAUUACCGAGACUGUGGAUGCCACCAUUAGGUGGCGUGAUAGGAGAGCGUUCUAAGGGCGACGAAGGCAGACCGUGAGGACUGUUGGAGCGCUUAGAAGUGAGAAUGCCGGUAUGAGUAGCGAAAGAUAGGUGAGAAUCCUAUCCACCGUAUGACUAAGGUUUCCUGGGGAAGGCUCGUCCUCCCAGGGUUAGUCGGGACCUAAGCCGAGGCCGAGAGGCGUAGGCGAUGGAUAACAGGUUGAGAUUCCUGUACUAGUUAAACUUGUUUGAACAAUGGAGGGACGCAGGAGGCUAAGGAAUGCACCCGAUUGGAAGUGGGUGUCCAAGCCGUAAGUCUGAANGCUUAGAAGUGAGAAUGCCGGUAUGAGUAGCGAAAGAUAGGUGAGAAUCCUAUCCACCGUAUGACUAAGGUUUCCUGGGGAAGGCUCGUCCUCCCAGGGUUAGUCGGGACCUAAGCCGAGGCCGAGAGGCGUAGGCGAUGGAUAACAGGUUGAGAUUCCUGUACUAGUUAAACUUGUUUGAACAAUGGAGGGACGCAGGAGGCUAAGGAAUGCACCCGAUUGGAAGUGGGUGUCCAAGCCGUAAGUCUGAAGUCGAGUCAAAUGCUUGAUUUCUUAAGGACAAGCGGUGAUGGGGAGUGAAAUUUAAGUAACGAAGUUCCUGACGUCACGCUGCCGAGAAAAGCUUCUAGUUAGAGUUUAACUACCCGUACCGCAAACCGACACAGGUAGUCGAGGAGAGUAUCCUAAGGUGAGCGAGAGAACUCUCGUUAAGGAACUCGGCAAAAUGACCCCGUAACUUCGGGAGAAGGGGUGCUGAUCGCAAGAUCAGCCGCAGUGAAAAGGCCCAGGCGACUGUUUAUCAAAAACACAGGUUUCUGCAAAAUCGUAAGAUGACGUAUAGGGGCUGACGCCUGCCCGGUGCUGGAAGGUUAAGGGGAUGAGUUAGCGUAAGCGAAGCUUUGAACUGAAGCCCCAGUAAACGGCGGCCGUAACUAUAACGGUCCUAAGGUAGCGAAAUUCCUUGUCGGGUAAGUUCCGACCCGCACGAAAGGCGUAACGAUCUGGGCACUGUCUCAACGAGAGACUCGGUGAAAUUAUAAUACCCGUGAAGAUGCGGGUUACCCGCGACAGGACGGAAAGACCCCAUGGAGCUUUACUGUAACUUGAUAUUGAGUGUUUGUACAGCUUGUACAGGAUAGGUAGGAGCCGUAGAAUCCGGAACGCUAGUUUCGGAGGAGGCGCAAGUGGGAUACUACCCUCGUUGUAUGAACCCUCUAACCCGCGCCACUAAUCGUGGCGGGAGACAGUGUCUGGUGGGCAGUUUGACUGGGGCGGUCGCCUCCUAAAAGGUAACGGAGGCGCCCAAAGGUUCCCUCAGAAUGGUUGGAAAUCAUUCGCAGAGUGUAAAGGCAGAAGGGAGCUUGACUGCGAGACAGACAGGUCGAGCAGGGACGAAAGUCGGGCUUAGUGAUCCGGUGGUUCCGUAUGGAAGGGCCAUCGCUCAACGGAUAAAAGCUACCCUGGGGAUAACAGGCUUAUCUCCCCCAAGAGUUCACAUCGACGGGGAGGUUUGGCACCUCGAUGUCGGCUCAUCGCAUCCUGGGGCUGUAGUCGGUCCCAAGGGUUGGGCUGUUCGCCCAUUAAAGCGGUACGCGAGCUGGGUUCAGAACGUCGUGAGACAGUUCGGUCCCUAUCCGUCGCGGGCGUAGGAAAUUUGAGAGGAGCUGUCCUUAGUACGAGAGGACCGGGAUGGACACACCGCUGGUGUACCAGUUGUUCCGCCAGGAGCAUCGCUGGGUAGCUAUGUGUGGAUGAGAUAAACGCUGAAAGCAUCUAAGUGUGAAACUCGCCUCAAGAUGAGAUUUCCCAUUGCCUUCGGGCAAGUAAGACCCCUGAGAGAUGAUCAGGUAGAUAGGCUAGAAGUGGAAGUGUAGCGAUACAUGGAGCGGACUAGUACUAAUCGGUCGAGGACUUAACCAAG